rnacentral:tRNA from 4 species
GCCCGAAUGGUGAAAUGGUAGACACAAGGGACUUAAAAUCCCUCGCGGGCAACCGCGUGCCGGUUCGAGUCCGGCUUCGGGCACCA